GUCUCUGUGGCGCAAUCGGUUAGCGCCUUCGGCUGUUAACCGAAAGGUUGGUGGUUCAAGCCCCCCCCCCCCAGGGGCG
rnacentral:tRNA from 1 species